UUUCUUGGGAGAUCUGACGGUACUAAGGAUAAGCACCGGCUAACUCCGUGCCAGCAGCCGCGUAAUACGGAGGGUGCAAGCGUUACUCGGAAUCACUGGGCGUAAAGGGCGCGUAGGGGAUUAUCAAGUCUCUUGUGAAAUCUAAUGGCUUAACCAUUAAACUGCUUGGGAAACUGAUAGUCUAGAGUGAGGGAGAGGCAGAUGGAAUUGGUGGUGUAGGGGUAAAAUCCGUAGAUAUCACCAAGAAUACCCAUUGCGAAGCCAAUCUGCUGGCACUCAACUGACGCUAAGGCGCGAAAGCGUGGGGAGCAAACAGGAUUAGAAUACCCUGGUAGUCCACGCCCUAAACGAUGUACACAGGUGGUUGGGGUCCUAGCCAUUUCAGUAAUGCGGCUAAGGCAUUAAGUGUCCCGCCUGGGGAGUCCGUUCGCACGAUUAAAAUUCAAGGGAAAGGACGGGGACCGGCCCAACCGGAGGGACCUUGUGGUUAAUUUCGAAGAUACGCGAAGAACCUUACCUGGCCUUGAUAUCCAAUGAACUUUUAGAGAUAAGAGGGUGCAAGUUUGUUGAACUAAGAGACAGUGGCUGAACGCUUGUGGUCACCCAGGGUAGUGAAAGUCGGCUUAGGUCCCGCAACGGCCAACCACGAUUUAGUUCUAACCGUCCGCUGACCACUCUACUGGACUGCUUCGACGGAGGUGAUAGUGUGGACAGUCGAGUCUCUCGCCCUAUGCCUGGGCGACC
rnacentral:rRNA from 1 species